UGGAGGCGCUGCUAUCCUGUGGAGGCUAAAUGAAAUUGCCUUAGCAAAUAGCUCCAUGGUUCUUAGAAACUUGAAGGCCGUUUAGAGCCACCCUAUAUUCAGUUCCAUUUUGUAUCCAAAUGCUGCUCUGAAGUCCCAGAGUUAUUUUUAAAAAUGCAUUUUUAACUGUACACAGGAACGUCAGGUAAGGCCAAGAGGAGUCCUGGAACCAGGUGUGAGGGAGAGUUUUAAGCAAAAAGAAUUAUUUAAGGUUCUUUUCCUUCCCGCUCUACCCUCAAAACAUCUGUUCCUAAUCCUACAAAUGACACAGCAGUACACCCACAUUCUGAUUAUUAAAUGAUACAGUGCAAUACAUUAAUAUUUUCAGUUAAGUGGAAGUAAGGUAAGUACAAAAUAUUAACUUGGUUGGUUAAACAGUCAUGGGAACAUGCAGCAGAGUGUUGUGCAGACAUACUUACUCCCAUCUUCCUAUAAAAGACCCUUUGGUUGUGUGUUGCUCAGACACUUCUUGAUCGAUGAUAGGAGAGGGCCAUGAAAAGGUGUGAGUUGUACUCCAUUUGCCUCUUGACCCCCACGAGCACCUGGACAUUGUCUGAGCCUCCGUGUCUUUUUUGCUUAUUGGUCUUCAUUUGCAAGCUGCUUCAAUCACACCCUCUGAAAUCAUUUUCAAUCUCCCAAAGUCUUAAAUUCAUUAUAUGCGAUGUCUCUUAAAGGACUUGUUUAAAAAACUAAAGUCUUUUAUCAAUCACAGUUUGUCCCUUGAAAGCCAAUUAAUGGAGCUUGCAAAUUCAGAUCUUGGGCAGAGCCUUCUGACCAUCUGAGAGUGGCCACCAAAUAUAUCUAAAGACAUUUGCUCAUUCAUUUGGACAUUCAAUGAUAAGAAUUCAUCUCAUCGAGCACUUAUUCUUUGUCAGGCAGAUGCUGACCGACAAGAGCCCUACCAGAGGAUCCUGCCUCCCGAGCUUAUAGCUUGUUUUGAACCAGACCUUCAUCUAACAAACAAAUAAAUAUAGAAUUACACUUCAUAGAGCACCAUGAAGGAAAGAUGGGAUGAUUGGAGCCCAGGAAGAAUGAGAGAUGACUCUCCCCGGGUUAGU
rnacentral:lncRNA from 10 species